rnacentral:rRNA from 1 species
UGGGGGAUAUUGGACAAUGGGCGAAAGCCUGAUCCAGCCAUGCCGCGUGUGUGAAGAAGGUCUUCGGAUUGUAAAGCACUUUAAGUUGGGAGGAAGGGCAUUAACCUAAUACGUUAGUGUUUUGACGUUACCGACAGAAUAAGCACCGGCUAACUCUGUGCCAGCAGCCGCGGUAAUACAGAGGGUGCAAGCGUUAAUCGGAAUUACUGGGCGUAAAGCGCGCGUAGGUGGUUUGUUAAGUUGGAUGUGAAAUCCCCGGGCUCAUCCUGGGAACUGCAUUCAAAACUGACUGACUAGAGUAUGGUAGAGGGUGGUGGAAUUUCCUGUGUAGCGGUGAAAUGAGUAGAUAUAGGAAGGAACACCAGUGGCGAAGGCGACCACCUGGACUAAUACUGACACUGAGGUGCGAAAGCGUGGGGAGCAAACA